rnacentral:lncRNA from 1 species
UUUUUCAUGUUUUUUCAAACACCUCUCUCUCCUCCCUGUAAUCUGUCGCUUCCAUGAAACCCUUAUCCUUAUCUAGAGGAGGCCAUGGCUAUGGCCGAAACCCCUGCAAAUGCCAAAAACCGGCGAACCCUAUUCCUCUUUCUCCCAUUUUCCCUCUUCCCCAUCUCUCGUUCUCUCUCUCUAUCUUGCAGCCCCAUCAAGGCCCUACAAAACCCAUAUUUGUCUGCAACUAAAUAAAUAACAAGAUUGGUAUUUUCCGCAUUUCUUUAUUUCUUGCUUGCAUUCAUCGUCUCUCUGGUCAGGAUCAAAAGUUCCCAACUCUUGAAACCCACAAAGAAGAUUUCCUACUCUCUCUCCCUCUUUUCAUCCCCCUCUCUCUCUCUCUCUAACUUCCCCCCACUUGCAUGGGCAGCAGCAGGGCUAUUUCCCUUUGUUUUCUCUAUCCCUCAUCCGUCACCUUCUCUUGCCCACUAUGCUCUCUCUCCCCAGCUCCAAGUAACCUGUCCAGGUCCAGGUUGAUCUGGCAUGUUUUGUAAACAGUGGUCGAGUCUGAGCAGUCAGGUAACUGGACCGAGUUCCUCAGGUGGCUCACUGUUCAUGCUUCAAUAUGUAGUUGUCCUUUUUCCUUUUUUUGGGGCCUUAUCAUGUUGAUUCAUAUGUUAAAUUUGUAUAUGGAUUGCAAUUUAGACAUUGAGAUUGAUCGUUUCUCCAUUCAUAUCCCCAAUCCAAAAUUUGGGAUCAGAAUGUAAAUGCGUGGCUUUUUCAUUAAAAAAUCCCUGUUUGGACCUCUCAUUCAACGAUCCAUGAAAGCUUUGAUAUCUUCUCUUGAUCCUCAACAAAACUACUCCAAAUUUGUUAAAAAAAUGGGCAUCAUUUAGUCAGCUGCAAGAUUUAUACAUUAGCUGCUCUAAGAAAUCGAGCCUCAAAAGUUUUAGCUUGGUUUUGA